rnacentral:rRNA from 1 species
GACGAACGCUGGCGGCGUGCUUAACACAUGCAAGUCGAACGGAAAGGCCCUGCUUUUGUGUGGUUCUCGAGUGGCGAACGGGUGAGUAACACGUGAGUAACCUGCCCUUGACUUUGGGAUAACUUCAGGAAACUGGGGCUAAUACCGGAUAGGAGCUCCUGCUGCAUGGUGGGGGUUGGAAAGUUUCGGCGGUUGGGGAUGGACUCGCGGCUUAUCAGCUUGUUGGUGGGGUAGUGGCUUACCAAGGCUUUGACGGGUAGCCGGCAUGAGAGGGGGACCGGGGACAUGGGGACUGAGGUACGCACCAGACGCGUACGGUAGGCAGUAGGGGGGAAUAUGGCACAAUGGGGGGAAGCGUGAUGCAGCAACGUUGCGUGCGGGAUGACGUCUUUCGGGGUGUAAACCGCUGUCGCCUGUGACGAAGCGUGAGUGACGGUAAUGGGUAAAGAAGCACCGGCUAACUACGUG